CACGCUCGUCCAAGGUCCGCUCCUUCAGUUCGAUUUGCUCUGCAUCCCUUCCCGUGCCCUCCCUGAUUGAUCUUCUCCCGGUUGCUUCCUUGCUUUCCUUCCCCACGCUCUUUCUUUGUGAGACGACAUCCAACAUCAAUCACCAGCGACCGACUCCCUGCUGUGGCCGGCCGACCAACUAUACCUGCUACUCACCCGGACGCCUCCCUUCUUUGGUUCCAGGAAAGAUGGCCGCCGCUAUACAUUGCCGGAGGAGCACAUUCCUGCAGAGCUCAUGGGACGCACCCCUUCAAGGGGCUUGCUGCUGACCACGAGGGUCAACUUGGAGCUCCUCUCUGCCCCUGCAGGCGAUUAACCAUCUUCCCGUGGCAGUCACCGCCGCUCCAGCAGGGGCUUGCUGACCACAAGGAUCAACUUGGUGCCUGCUUUGGAAUUUCCCAUGAGAGAGAGGCGAG